rnacentral:rRNA from 1 species
CCUACGGGAGGCAGCAGUGGGGAAUAUUGCACAAUGGGGGAAACCCUGAUGCAGCAACGCCGCGUGAGUGAAGAAGUAUUUCGGUAUGUAAAGCUCUAUCAGCAGGGAAGAAGAAAGACGGUACCUGACUAAGAAGCCCCGGCUAACUACGUGCCAGCAGCCGCGGUAAUACGUAGGGGGCAAGCGUUAUCCGGAUUUACUGGGUGUAAAGGGAGCGUAGACGGCUGUGCAAGUCUGAAGUGAAAGCCCGUGGCUCAACCGCGGAACUGCUUUGGAAACUGUAUAGCUUGAGUACUGGAGAGGCAGGCGGAAUUCCUAGUGUAGCGGUGAAAUGCGUAGAUAUUAGGAGGAACACCAGUGGCGAAGGCAGCAUGCCGGCUUCCGACUGACGCUGAAGCACGAAAGCGUGGGGAUCGAACAGGAUUAGAUACCCCUGUAGUC